CAACCGAGAUUCCCCCAGUAGCGGCGAGCGAACGGGGAGGAGCCCAGAGCCUGAAUCAGCUUGUGUGUUAGUGGAAGCGUCUGGAAAGUCGCACGGUACAGGGUGAAAGUCCCGUACACGAAAACGCACAGGCUGUGAGCUCGAUGAGUAGGGCGGGACACGUGGUAUCCUGUCUGAAUAUGGGGGGACCAUCCUCCAAGGCUAAAUACUCCUGACUGACCGAUAGUGAACCAGUACCGUGAGGGAAAGGCGAAAAGAACCCCGGCGAGGGGAGUGAAAAAGAACCUGAAACCGUGUACGUACAAGCAGUGGGAGCCUCUUUAUGGGGUGACUGCGUACCUUUUGUAUAAUGGGUCAGCGACUUAUAUUCUGUAGCAAGGUUAACCGAAUAGGGGAGCCGGAGGGAAACCGAGUCUUAAUUGGGCGUUAAGUUGCAGGGUAUAGACCCGAAACCCGGUGAUCUAGCCAUGGGCAGGUUGAAGGUUGGGUAACACUAACUGGAGGACCGAACCGACUAAUGUUGAAAAAUUAGCGGAUGACCUGUGGCUGGGGGUGAAAGGCCAAUCAAACCGGGAGAUAGCUGGUUCUCCCCGAAAGCUAUUUAGGUAGCGCCUCGUGAAUUCAUCUCCGGGGGUAGAGCACUGUUUCGGC
rnacentral:rRNA from 1 species